rnacentral:rRNA from 1 species
UGGCGAACGGGUGAGUAACGCGUGAGGAACCUGCCUCAAAGAGGGGGACAACAGUUGGAAACGACUGCUAAUACCGCAUAAGCCCACGACCCGGCAUCGGGAAGAGGGAAAAGGAGCAAUCCGCUUUGAGAUGGCCUCGCGUCCGAUUAGCUAGUUGGUGAGGUAACGGCCCACCAAGGCGGCGAUCGGUAGCCGGACUGAGAGGUUGACGGCCACAUUGGGACUGAGACACGGCCCAG